GGUUUGGCCACAUGAUAGCCAAUCAGCUUACUGUAUUUGAAUGAAACAGCCUUCCAUAUUGUCAUUGUCAUGAGUGGAUAACAUUAGGACUCUGGUGCUUUGUGAACAAACAGUGACAAAGAAGAGAUAAGAAAUACAGAAAAAAAGGUACCUUGUAAAGUGGAACCUGGACUCAAGACCAUCAGUUGUAUUUCUUGAAAACGGAAAGCAGUAAUUUAAAAACUGAAACAAAGCAUCUUCUACUUCCAUGCAAGAUGAAGUAUCAGGAAGCUGAAUUACCUACCCACCAGAAACAAUCCAAAAAACAGACAAAUAUAUAAGAUGACAAUUUUCAAGAUACUGGA